rnacentral:rRNA from 1 species
CAGCAGUCGCCGCGGGAAUACGUAGGGUGCAAGCGUUAAUCGGAAUUACUGGUCGUAAAGCGUGCGCAGGCGGUUCUAUAAGACAGAUGUGAAAUCCCCGGGCUCAACCUGGGAACUGCAUUUGUGACUGUAGAGCUGGGGUGCGGCAGAGGGGGAUGGAAUUCCGCGUGUAGCAGUGAAAUGCGUAGAUAUGCGGAGGAACACCGAUGGCGAAGGCAAUCCCCUGGGCCUGCACUGACGCUCAUGCACGAAAGCGUGGGGAGCAAACAGGAUUAGAUACCCCCGUAGUCCCUGUCUCUUAUAC